rnacentral:snRNA from 2 species
GUGCUCACUUCGGCAGCACGCACACUAAAAUUGUAACAAUACAGAGAUGACUAGCAUGGCCCCUGCAAGGACGACGUGCAAAUUCGUGAAGCAUACCAUAUUAAA